rnacentral:rRNA from 1 species
GACGAACGCUGGCGGCGUGCCUAAUACAUGCAAGUCGAACGCAGUGGGGACGGGUGAGUAACACGUGGGUAACCUCCCAUCAGAGGGGAUACCACUUGGAAACAGGUGCUAAACCGAUACUGAUGGAUGGACCCGCGGUGCAUUAGCUAGUUGGUGAGGUAACGGCUCACCAAGGCCACGAUGCAUAGCCGACCGAAGAGGGGGAUGGGCAACCAGAGGAAGGAGACACGGCCUAGAGUCCUACGGGAGGCAGCAGUAGGGAAUCUUCGGCAAUGGACGAAAGUCUGAACGAGCAACGCCGCGUGAGUGAAGAAGGUUUUCGGAUCGUAAAACUCUGUUGUUAGAGAAGCGGUAUCUAACCAGAAAGCCACGGCUAACUACGUGCCAGCAGCCGCGGUAAUAC